GAUGAACGCUAGCGGGAGGCCUAACACAUGCAAGCCGAGCGGUAGAGUUUCUUCGGAAACUUGAGAGCGGCGCACGGGUGCGUAACACGUGUGCAACCUACCUUUAUCUGGGGGAUAGCCUUUCGAAAGGAGGAUUAAUACCCCAUAAUAUAAUGAUUGGCAUCAAUUAUUAUUGAAAACUCCGGUGGAUAGAGAUGGGCACGCGCAAGAUUAGAUAGUUGGUGAGGUAACGGCUCACCAAGUCAAUGAUCUUUAGGGGUCCUGAGAGGGAGAUCCCCCACACUGGUACUGAGACACGGACCAGACUCCUACGGGAGGCAGCAGUGAGGAAUAUUGGACAAUGGGUGAGAGCCUGAUCCAGCCAUCCCGCGUGAAGGAUGACGGUCCUAUGGAUUGUAAACUUCUUUUGUACAGGGAUAAACCUACCCUCGUGAGGGUAGCUGAAGGUACUGUACGAAUAAGCACCGGCUAACUGCGUG
rnacentral:rRNA from 1 species